ACCUAGAAUUUAUUAUUUCCAUGCCCUAUUUCCCCCAAUAUCCAGAGCUGGAAACGCCUCCACCCUGCCUGUCCUGGCCAUGGGCUCCAUGCUCCUCUGCUGUGUGGUCUUUUGUCUUCUGGGAGCAGGGCACAUAGAUGCUGGUGUUUUCCAGACUCCAAGGAAUAAGAUUGUAAAGAAAGGAAACAGCAUUAUUCUAGAAUGUACUCAGAAUGAGGAUCAUGACUAUAUGUACUGGUAUCGACAAGACCCAGGACUGGGACUACGGCUGAUCUACUACUCCUUUGAUGAUAAAAUUUACAAAGGAGAUGUCCCUGAUGGGUACAAUGUCUCUCGAGAGGAGCUAGCAAAAUUCCCCCUCGUUCUAAAGGCUGCCAGCCCAAACCAGACAGCUGUUUAUUUCUGUUCCAGCAGCCUCACACAGCGUUUCUUGGCCACCUGCUCUCCACACAGAAAGAUAAGCAUGUGGGCAAGCCCCAUUAAUGCUGAUGUCUCCCAUACCCCAAGACAUUGUGUUACAGGGACAGGAAAGAUGAUUACUCUGGAAUGUUCUCAAACCAUGGGCCACGACAAAAUGUACUGGUAUCACCAAGACCCGGGAAUGGAACUGCAGCUAGUGCAUUACUCAUAUGGUGUUAAUAGCAGAGAAAGGAGAGCUGCCUUCUGA